GAACGCUGGCGGCAGGCCUAACACAUGCAAGUCGAGCGGUAACAGGAAUUAGCUUGCUAAUUCGCUGACGAGCGGCGGACGGGUGAGUAAUGCCUGGGAAUAUGCCUUAGUGUGGGGGAUAACUAUUGGAAACGAUAGCUAAUACCGCAUAACGUCUUCGGACCAAAGAGGGGGACCUUCGGGCCUCUCGCGCUAAGAUUAGCCCAGGUGGGAUUAGCUAGUUGGUGAGGUAAAGGCUCACCAAGGCAACGAUCCCUAGCUGGUCUGAGAGGAUGAUCAGCCACACUGGAACUGAGACACGGUCCAGACUCCUACGGGAGGCGGCAGUGGGGAAUAUUGCACAAUGGGGGAAACCCUGAUGCAGCCAUGCCGCGUGUAUGAAGAAGGCCUUCGGGUUGUAAAGUACUUUCAGUCGUGAGGAAGGGUGUGUAGUUAAUAGCUGCAUACCUUGACGUUAGCGACAGAAGAAGCACCGGCUAACUCCGUGCCAGCAGCCGCGGUAAUACGGAGGGUGCGAGCGUUAAUCGGAAUUACUGGGCGUAAAGCGCAUGCAGGCGGUCUGUUAAGCAAGAUGUGAAAGCCCGGGGCUCAACCUCGGAACCGCAUUUUGAACUGGCAGACUAGAGUCUUGUAGAGGGGGGUAGAAUUUCAGGUGUAGCGGUGAAAUGCGUAGAGAUCUGAAGGAUACCGGUGGCGA
rnacentral:rRNA from 1 species